AUUUAUUUAGUUUAAUAAAAACACUACAUUUUCACUGUAAAGAUACUAUCAAUAGUUAUAAAUG
rnacentral:tRNA from 1 species